GACGAACGCUGGCGGCGUGCCUAAUACAUGCAAGUAGAACGCUGAAGGAGGAGCUUGCUUCUCUGGAUGAGUUGCGAACGGGUGAGUAACGCGUAGGUAACCUGCCUGGUAGCGGGGGAUAACUAUUGGAAACGAUAGCUAAUACCGCAUAAUAGUAGAUGUUGCAUGACAUUUGCUUAAAAGGUGCAAUUGCAUCACUACCAGAUGGACCUGCGUUGUAUUAGCUAGUUGGUGGGGUAACGGCUCACCAAGGCGACGAUACAUAGCCGACCUGAGAGGGUGAUCGGCCACACUGGGACUGAGACACGGCCCAGACUCCUACGGGAGGCAGCAGUAGCGAAUCCUCAGCAAUGGACGGAAGGCUGACCGAGCAACGCCGCGUGAGAGAAGAAGGUUGUCGGAUCGUGAAGGUCAGUUGUAAGAGAAGAACGAGAGUGAGAGUGGAAAGUUCACAUUGUGACGGUAUCUGACCAGAAAGGGACGGCUAACUACGUG
rnacentral:rRNA from 1 species